rnacentral:rRNA from 1 species
UACGGAGGGAGCUAGCGUUGUUCGGAAUUACUGGGCGUAAAGCGCACGUAGGCGGCUUUGUAAGUUAGAGGUGAAAGCCUGGGGCUCAACUCCAGAAUUGCCUUUAAGACUGCAUCGCUUGAAUCAUGGAGAGGCGGGUGGAAUUCCGAGUGUAGAGGUGAAAUUCGUAGAUAUUCGGAAGAAUACCAGUGGCGAAGGCGGCCCGCUGGACAUGUAUUGACGCUGAGGUGCGAAAGCGUGGGGAGCAAACAGG